UUACUCUUCGGAGUGAGAGCGUACACAGGUGCUGCAUGGCUGUCGUCAGCUCGUGUCGUGAGAUGUUGGGUUAAGUCCCGCAACGAGCGCAACCCUGCAUUCAGUUGCCAUCGGUAAGGCCGGACACUCUGGAUGGACUGCCGGCGACAAGCCGGAGGAAGGUGGGGACGACGUCAAGUCAUCAUGGCCCUUAUGUCCAGGGCGACACACGUGCUACAAUGGCCGGCACAACGGGAAGCGAAGGGGCGACCCUGAGCGGAUCCCACAAAAGCCGGUCUCAGUUCGGAUUGCAGUCUGCAACUCGACUGCAUGAAGUUGGAAUCGCUAGUAAUCGUGGAUCAGCCAAGCCGCGGUGAAUACGUUCCCGGGCCUU
rnacentral:rRNA from 1 species